GAAUCCCGUGAACCAUCGAGUCUUUGAACGCAAGUUGCGCCCGAAGCCUUCGGGCCGAGGGCACGCCUGCCUGGGCGUCACGCAUCGCGUCGCCCCCCCGCCCGCCCGCUCCGGGCGGGGCGCGGGGGCGGAGUCUGGCCUCCCGUGCGCCUCCGUCGCGCGGCCGGCCC
rnacentral:rRNA from 1 species